GAUAAACGCUGGCGGCGUGCCUAAUACAUGCAAGUCGAGCGAACGGACGAGAAGCUUGCUUCUCUGAUGUUAGCGGCGGACGGGUGAGUAACACGUGGAUAACCUACCUAUAAGACUGGGAUAACUUCGGGAAACCGGAGCUAAUACCGGAUAAUAUUUUGAACCGCAUGGUUCAAAAGUGAAAGACGGUCUUGCUGUCACUUAUAGAUGGAUCCGCGCUGCAUUAGCUAGUUGGUAAGGUAACGGCUUACCAAGGCAACGAUGCAUAGCCGACCUGAGAGGGUGAUCGGCCACACUGGAACUGAGACACGGUCCAGACUCCUACGGGAGGCAGCAGUAGGGAAUCUUCCGCAAUGGGCGAAAGCCUGACGGAGCAACGCCGCGUGAGUGAUGAAGGUCUUCGGAUCGUAAAACUCUGUUAUUAGGGAAGAACAUAUGUGUAAGUAACUGUGCACAUCUUGACGGUACCUAAUCAGAAAGCCACGGCUAACUACGUGCCAGCAGCCGCGGUAAUACGUAGGUGGCAAGCGUUAUCCGGAAUUAUUGGGCGUAAAGCGCGCGUAGGCGGUUUUUUAGUCUGAUGUGAAAGCCCACGGCUCAACCGUGGAGGGUCAUUGGAAACUGGAAAACUUGAGUGCAGAAGAGGAAAGUGGAAUUCCAUGUGUAGCGGUGAAAUGCGCAGAGAUAUGGAGGAACACCAGUGGCGAAGGCGACUUUCUGGUCUGUAACUGACGCUGAUGUGCGAAAGCGUGGGGAUCAAACAGGAUUAGAUACCCUGGUAGUCCACGCCGUAAACGAUGAGUGCUAAGUGUUAGGGGGUUUCCGCCCCUUAGUGCUGCAGCUAACGCAUUAAGCACUCCGCCUGGGGAGUACGACCGCAAGGUUGAAACUCAAAGGAAUUGACGGGGACCCGCACAAGCGGUGGAGCAUGUGGUUUAAUUCGAAGCAACGCGAAGAACCUUACCAAAUCUUGACAUCCUUUGACAACUCUAGAGAUAGAGCCUUCCCCUUCGGGGGACAAAGUGACAGGUGGUGCAUGGUUGUCGUCAGCUCGUGUCGUGAGAUGUUGGGUUAAGUCCCGCAACGAGCGCAACCCUUAAGCUUAGUUGCCAUCAUUAAGUUGGGCACUCUAAGUUGACUGCCGGUGACAAACCGGAGGAAGGUGGGGAUGACGUCAAAUCAUCAUGCCCCUUAUGAUUUGGGCUACACACGUGCUACAAUGGACAAUACAAAGGGCAGCGAAACCGCGAGGUCAAGCAAAUCCCAUAAAGUUGUUCUCAGUUCGGAUUGUAGUCUGCAACUCGACUACAUGAAGCUGGAAUCGCUAGUAAUCGUAGAUCAGCAUGCUACGGUGAAUACGUUCCCGGGUCU
rnacentral:rRNA from 1 species